GCCUUCGUGGUGAAGUGGUCAGCACGCUAGACCCGUGUUAGAGAGGUCCGUGGUUCGAAUCCCGGAGAGGGCA
rnacentral:tRNA from 1 species